UGGGGAAUUUCGGACAAUGGGGGCAACCCUGAUCCAGCAAUGCCGCGUGUGUGAAGAAGGCCUUCGGGUUGUAAAGCACUUUUGUCCGGGAAGAAAUCGCACCUGAUAAUACCGGGUGUGGAUGACGGUACCGGAAGAAUAAGGACCGGCUAACUACGUGCCAGCAGCCGCGGUAAUACGUAGGGUCCAAGCGUUAAUCGGAAUUACUGGGCGUAAAGCGUGCGCAGGCGGUUGUGCAAGACCGAUGUGAAAUCCCCGGGCUUAACCUGGGAAUUGCAUUGGUGACUGCACGGCUAGAGUGUGUCAGAGGGGGGUAGAAUUCCACGUGUAGCAGUGAAAUGCGUAGAGAUGUGGAGGAAUACCGAUGGCGAAGGCAGCCCCCUGGGAUAACACUGACGCUCAUGCACGAAAGCGUGGGGAGCAAACAGG
rnacentral:rRNA from 1 species